rnacentral:rRNA from 1 species
CAGGAUGAACGCUGGCGGCGUGCCUAACACAUGCAAGUCGAGCGAGAUACUUAUGAACAGAGAUUCGUCAACGGAAUUAAGUGGAAAGCGGCGGACGGGUGAGUAACGCGUAGGCAACCUGCCCCUUACACAGGGAUAGCCAUUGGAAACGAUGAUUAAAACCUGAUGACACCUGGUGAUGACAUCUUCAUUAGGUCAAAGAUUUAUCGGUAAGGGAUGGGCCUGCGUCUGAUUAGAUAGUUGGUGAGGUAACGGCCCACCAAGUCAACGAUCAGUAGCCGACCUGAGAGGGUGAUCGGCCACAUUGGAACUGAGACACGGUCCAAACUCCUACGGGAGGCAGCAGUGGGGAAUAUUGCACAAUGGGGGAAACCCUGAUGCAGCAACGCCGCGUGAAGGAAGAAGGUCUUCGGAUCGUAAACUUCUGUCCUAGAGGAAGAUAAUGACGGUACUCUUGGAGGAAGCCCCGGCUAACUACGUGCCAGCAGCCGCGGUAAUACGUAGGGGGCAAGCGUUAUCCGGAAUUAUUGGGCGUAAAGAGUGCGUAGGUGGUUACCUAAGCAGGGGGUGAAAGGCACUGGCUUAACCAAUGUCAGCCCCCUGAACUGGGCUACUUGAGUGCAGGAGAGGAAAGUGGAAUUCCUAGUGUAGCGGUGAAAUGCGUAGAUAUUAGGAGGAACACCAGUGGCGAAGGCGACUUUCUGGACUGUUACUGACACUGAGGCACGAAAGUGUGGGGAGCAAACAGGAUUAGAUACCCUGGUAGUCC